UACGUAGGGUGCGAGCGUUGUCCGGAAUUAUUGGGCGUAAAGAGCUCGUAGGUGGCGGGUCACGUCGGGUGUGAAAGCCCGGGGCUUAACCCCGGGCGUGCAGUGGAUACGGGCAGGCUGGAGGCAGGCAGGGGAGAACGGAAUUCCCGGUGUAGCGGUGAAAUGCGCAGAUAUCGGGAGGAACACCGGUGGCGAAGGCGGUUCUCUGGGCCUGUACUGACGCUGAGGAGCGAAAGCGUGGGGAGCGAACAGG
rnacentral:rRNA from 1 species